CAACGGCUCGUAGCGGAAGGCACACUGUCAGUUGGAAGGAAACCACAUUAGCAUUUGGGACAUAGUGGAACAUCGUUUGAAGCUCACACGCUGCACUUUCGGAUUCUUAUUAAUUGAAUUAAUUUGUUAGCCUACCUAGUUAAAUUAAAUUAAAUUGAAUUAUCCUAUAACUAGCUAGAGGGUUACACAUAAGUGAGGUUAAAUUCAAGUAGGCUCGCUCGCCGGUUCUAGAGAAGCUGAAACCUACAAAACGAGAUUUUAAUUUUCCCGUACCGAAAUACAGAAAUUGAAAAUCACGGAACCUGUUUCUCUGUUGCCACAGCAA